rnacentral:rRNA from 1 species
GACGAACGCUGGCGGCGUGCUUAACACAUGCAAGUCGAACGAAGUGGCGAACGGGUGAGUAACGCGUAAUCAACCUGCCCUUCAGGGGGGGACAACAGUUGGAACCGACUGCUAAUACCGCAUACUGAAGGAGGGGAUUGCGUCGGAUUAGCUAGUUGGAGGGGUAACGGCCCACCAAGGCGAUGAUCAGUAGCCGGGCGGGUGAGAUGAACGGCCACAUUGGGACUGGGAAACGGCCCAGAACCCUAAGGGAGGGAGCAGUGGGGAAUCUUCCGCAAUGGAGGAAAGUCUGAAGGAGCAACGCCGCGGGGGUGAUGACGGCCUUCGGGUUGGAAAGCUCUGUUAAGCGGGACGCGGUACCGGAAUAGAAAGCCACGGCUAACUACGUGCCAGCAGCCGCGGUAAUAC